UGAGAGGGGCACGGUAACCCCGUUAUAUUCUUACCUCAGUCGAAGAGGCAUGUAGGGUAACUCUCAAGGUACAACUUUAGAGUUCACUUCACGCCAAACCACCACGUGAGGGUGAACUCAGCCAACGGCAAGGAAUGACUAUGUUUUCAAAAUAAAAACAUGAUUUAUGCGUACAUGACUUUAUAACAGCCUUGACGGACUAGGUUGGGAUAGCCCUAGGCCAAGGUAUCCCUGAUAACCGAGUAUGAGAAUGAUUUUGGCACGAGCCAAAGUUUUAAGAAAUUCAUAAGCCAUGUUGAUUACUCGAUUUAUAUGAAUUGAUUUUAUUUGGUUGAAAUUAGUUGAAAGCUGAUGAAUUACAGUAUGUUGAACUAUUUUAUUUGUCUUCAUUUACUCAGCUUUAGAUAUUUUAGAUGGUAUUUGUUUACUCACUGGGAUUAUAUAAUCUCACCACCCUCCUUUCCACCCAUUUCAGGUUCAAGAUAGUCGGUAGAUAGCUCACUUUGUUGAGGGCUACAGUUGAACUUGCAUCCUUAAAAACUGUAGGUUUACCGCUUUAGAUACUUUUGGUCGUUCGUGGGCCCACGUGUCACUGUAAAUUAAAUUUUAUACUUUGGUUAUCUGUAUUACAGUAUGUAUGAAUUUAUUUAGCUUUUACGCUACAAAAAUUAUUUACCGGUAACUCUAUAAAUAUUGUUUUAUAAGAAAAUAUAAUAUUUUAUUGAAUAUUUUUAUUAUAUUCAAAUA
rnacentral:lncRNA from 1 species